rnacentral:lncRNA from 1 species
CAGAUCCACCAGGAGAAACUGGUAGCCACGAUCACAGGAGUGGGGAGCAGGAAAAAAUUUCACCCCGCUUUUGGAUUUUUGAGUUGAAAAAGAACAUACCCUAAUGAAGAGAGUUGUGAGAAAUGAAGUCACAAUGCUGCAAGUGGGGCCAUCUUACUCAUCACUUAUUCAUUUCCGAGGUCCUCAGGAGGCAAAAGAGAAUUAGAGGAAAUCACCUUCGUCUUCUGGGACCCAGAACUGGGAGACAUAGAGGAUCAAAGUCGAGGACCAUUUGCCCAGCCCUGCCACAGAACCAGGUGUUCCUUUCAGGAUGAGAAAUCUGUCUGAGAAAGAGCCUGCAAGUAGCUCUUUGCAUGGUCUCUACGAGAGCUGCUAGAAUUAUAAAACAUUCUAACAAGAAGAAUCCUGAGAUACAAUUCUUAAAAUUAUUUUUAAUUGUGGUCAAAUACACAUGACAUAAAAUUUACCAUCUUAACCAUUGUUAAGUGUACAGUUCAGCGGCAUUAAGCACAUUCCCAUUGUUGUUCAACCUGCGUUACACCCAUCUCCAGAAUUCUUCUCAUCUUGCCAAAGUCAAACUCUGAACUCAUUAAACAGUAACUCCGCAUCCUCUCCUACCCCAAGCUCCUGGCAACCAGCGU